GUAUAAAACAGGGCUGCAGAGAGAAACCACACUACUACUGAAGACCAGAAGACAUCAUCCAGAUAAACAGCCAUCAAUCAGACAGCAUCGUCCAACUGUAAGAGUAAAGGAUGAAGAUCCAGAGUAUGUUACUGCUGUUCGCUCUAGUGGGUGUCCUGUUAGCAAGCUCCCUCAAUGAAGACAACUCUGAGGAAGCUCUCCUGCAGGAGGAUGAUCUAAAAGGUGGAAAGGCUGACUUUUUGGCAAAGUUGGCUUCUCUGAAGACCAGCCCCUCUGAAGAUGAAGCACCAUUUUGGGGCGAGCUUUGGAACGUAGCCAAGGACCUUAUUGGGUGAGAAGUGACCAGAAUGGGGAUGCCAAGGAUCCUUUUCAGUCUCCAUAUGGAAUCAGCUAUCACCUCUGAAGUCAUCACUAACAAUACCUCAAUGAAUCAUUCCAACAUCCAUCAAUGAACGUCAAGAAAACAAACAGUAAUACAGUUAAUUGGUACUUUGGUACUGAGAAAAACUCAUCAACAUUCUGAAGAAUAUAUGUUUUAUCCAUGAACAUGUACUUUAUGUCCUGACACAUGAUAGUUGAUUGGUCAAGUUACUGGAUAAAUAAUUGUAUGGUGUAUGGUUGACGUGUUAUAUUGUGAUCCUCCAAUAAACUAUCAAGCAUAAGA